UACGAAGGGGGCUAGCGUUGAUCGGAAUUACUGGGCGUAAAGGGCGCGUAGGCGGCACUGUUAGUCAGGCGUGAAAUUCCUGGGCUCAACCUGGGGACUGCGCUUGAUACGGCAGAGCUUGAGGAUGGAAGAGGGUCGCGGAAUUCCCAGUGUAGAGGUGAAAUUCGUAGAUAUUGGGAAGAACACCGGUGGCGAAGGCGGCGACCUGGUCCAUUACUGACGCUGAGGCGCGACAGCGUGGGGAGCAAACAGG
rnacentral:rRNA from 1 species